rnacentral:rRNA from 1 species
CCUACGGGAGGCAGCAGUGGGGAAUAUUGCACAAUGGGGGAAACCCUGAUGCAGCGACGCCGCGUGAGUGAAGAAGUAAUUCGUUACGUAAAGCUCUAUCAGCAGGGAAGAAACACUGACCUUACGGUCAGCAGACGGUACCUGAGUAAGAAGCACCGGCUAACUACGUGCCAGCAGCCGCGGUAAUACGUAGGGGGCAAGCGUUAUCCGGAUUUACUGGGUGUAAAGGGAGCGUAGACGGUGCACCAAGUCUGGAGUGAAAUGCCGCAGCUUAACUGCGGAACUGCUUUGGAAAUUGGCGAACUAGAGUGCGGGAGGGGUAAGCGGAAUUCCUAGUGUAGCGGUGAAAUGCGUAGAUAUUAGGAGGAACACCGGUGGCGAAGGCGGCUUACUGGACCGUAACUGACGUUGAGGCUCGAAAGCGUGGGGAGCAAACAGGAUUAGAUACCCCAGUAGUC